AAAUUAACUUGUAGCAAUUAAAGAAAUUGAGAGAACACGAUAUGUUAAAUUCAAAGUUAUGACACGAGCUUCUUACAGAGAUUUUGGCAACUGGAUUCGUUGUCCAAUCAUACCCUUUAAUCCGGCAUCAAAGUGGUAUCAGAGCCAAAACUUGAGAAUACUUCACUCUCCUGCUUAAACAAGUCUGUCAAAGGAAGUUCGCUUUGCACUCUAAAUUCUCUACAUAUUACUGGAAUCUACAUAUCAAUAAUAUUACCACCAAAUCAAAUACAUUACUACCAAAACCCACUCCUGUCAUCUUUCCAAAACCUUGAUUUCCUUCAUUAAAUGCUGUCCAACCAAGCCGAUUACAUCUGAUAUUCGUCUAGCACCAGUCUCCUCCAUAGCUUCACCGAAAGAUGUGUUGAAAACCACCCCACUAUCCUCCAUCUCCAAGAACUCCGCCAGCGUGAACCACCAACUAUAACCUUGCCAAAUAUUUUAGUAAACCGCCCACACAAUCAACCGCCACAAAGAGGCCCAUAAUCCACUUCAAUAUCUGACAUUCUCACAAUCUAUAUAUACAAACGCACCACUAGUACAGCCAUCACAGUAACCCAGAAGUCAAGCCAUCGCCUUCUUCGAUUUCGACCCACUCGCGACACCUCGGGAUACCCACCCCGCAACCGUCGCCUCCACUUGUAACGC
rnacentral:lncRNA from 1 species